rnacentral:lncRNA from 1 species
AAAUAAGUACUGACAAUUCGUUGACUGGAGUGGAAGAUGUUAGUGUCUUGAACCAACAUGAAACAACAUGAGAAUGAUGGUAGUUUAAAAAUAAUGCAGCAUUAGCUAGGAUUGUUCUUAGAUCACAAAAACAAUCUUACAAAUAGAGUUUCUGCUGUUGUCACUGGUUUUAGAGAGUACCUUCGUGAAUGAAGAUAAAAAG